rnacentral:rRNA from 1 species
ACACGUGAGUAACCUGCCUUAGACAUUGGGAUAGCCUCGGAAACCGGGAUUAAUACCAAUAAAAUCAUAAUGACACAUGUCAUAACGAUCAAAACUCCGGUGGUCUAAGAUGGACUCGCGUCCCAUUAGCUAGUUGGUAGAGUAAAAGCCUACCAAGGCGACGAUGGGUAGCCGGCCUGAGAGGGUGAACGGCCACAUUGGGACUGAGAUACGGCCCAG